AAUGGGCGAAAGCCUGAUGCAGCAACGCCGCGUGAAGGAUGAAGGCCCUAGGGUCGUAAACUUCUGUUCUUGGGGAAGAUAAUGACGGUACCCAAGGAGCAAGCCCCGGCUAACUACGUGCCAGCAGCCGCGGUAAUACGUAGGGGGCAAGCGUUAUCCGGAAUUAUUGGGCGUAAAGAGUGCGUAGGUGGUUACCUAAGCGCAGGGUUUAAGGCAAUGGCUCAACCAUUGUUCGCCUUGCGAACUGGGCUACUUGAGUGCAGGAGAGGAAAGCGGAAUUCCUAGUGUAGCGGUGAAAUGCGUAGAUAUUAGGAGGAACACCAGCGGCGAAGGCGGCUUUCUGGACUGUAACUGACACUGAGGCACGAAAGCGUGGGGAGCAAA
rnacentral:rRNA from 1 species